rnacentral:rRNA from 1 species
GACGAACGCUGGCGGCGUGCUUAACACAUGCAAGUCGAACGGAAAGGCCCUGCUUGCAGGGUACUCGAGUGGCGAACGGGUGAGUAACACGUGGGUGAUCUGCCCUGCACUUCGGGAUAAGCCUGGGAAACUGGGUCUAAUACCGGAUAGGAGCCAUUUUUAGUGUGAUGGUUGGAAAGUUUUUUCGGUGUAGGAUGAGCUCGCGGCCUAUCAGCUUGUUGGUGGGGUAAUGGCCUACCAAGGCGGCGACGGGUAGCCGGCCUGAGAGGGUGGACGGCCACAUUGGGACUGAGAUACGGCCCAGACUCCUACGGGAGGCAGCAGUGGGGAAUAUUGCACAAUGGGCGCAAGCCUGAUGCAGCGACGCCGCGUGGGGGAUGACGGCCUUCGGGUUGUAAACUCCUUUCGCUAGGGACGAAGCUUUUGUGACGGUACCUAGAUAAGAAGCACCGGCUAGCUACGUG